GACGAACGCUGGCGGCGUGCUUAACACAUGCAAGUCGAACGGAAAGGCCCUGCUUUUGUGGGGUGCUCGAGUGGCGAACGGGUGAGUAACACGUGAGUAACCUGCCCUUGACUUUGGGAUAACUUCAGGAAACUGGGGCUAAUACCGGAUAGGAGCUCCUGCUGCAUGGUGGGGGUUGGAAAGUUUCGGCGGUUGGGGAUGGACUCGCGGCUUAUCAGCUUGUUGGUGGGGUAGUGGCUUACCAAGGCUUUGACGGGUAGCCGGCCUGAGAGGGUGACCGGCCACAUUGGGACUGAGAUACGGCCCAGACUCCUACGGGAGGCAGCAGGGGGGAAUAUGGCACAAUGGGCGGAAGCCUGAGGCAGCAACGCCGCGUGCGGGAUGACGGCCUUCGGGUUGUAAACCGCUUUCGCCUGUGACGAAGCGUGAGGGACGGUAAUGGGUAAAGAAGCACCGGCUAACUACGU
rnacentral:rRNA from 1 species